rnacentral:rRNA from 1 species
GUUCGAUCUGGCUCAGAUUGGGCCUUUGGCGGGAUCGCCACAUGCAAGUCGAACGGCGGCACGGACUUCGGUCUGGUGGCGAGUGGCGAACGGGUGGGUAAUGUAUCGGAGCGUGCCUGGUAGCAGGGAUAACUACGCGAAAGCGUAGCUAAUACCGCAUACGCCCUUCGAGGAAAGCGGGGACCUUCGGGCCUCGCGCACACUAAUGAAGCAGCCGAUAUCAGGUUAGCUGGUUAGUGGGAGGUAACGGCUCACUAAGGCGACGAUCCGUAGCUGGUUUGAGAGGACGACCAGCCACACUGGGACUGAGACACAGCCCAGACUCUGCGGGAGAGCAGCAGUGAGGCCUUUGGACAAUGGGGAAACCCUGGUCAAUGCAUCCCGCACGUAUGCGAUGAAGGCCUUCGGGUUGUAACGCUGGCAGGAAAGAAACGGCGCAGGAUAAUACCCCGUGCAGCUGACAAUGCUGCAGAGAUAAGCACCAGCUAACUACGUGCCAGCAGCCCGCAGUAAUACGUAAGAAGGGUGCAAGCGUUAAUCGGAAUUACUGGGCGUAAAGCGUGCGCAGGCGGUUCGGAAAGAAGAUGUGAAAUCCCAGGAGCUUAACUUUGGAACUGCAUUUUUAACUACCGAGCUAGAGAUUAUUGUCAGAGGAGGUGGAGAUUCCGCGUGUAGCAGUGAAAUGCGUAGAUAACACGGAGAAAUUUCCGAUGGCGAGCAGCCUCUGGGAUCUUUCAACGCUCAUGCACAUGGCAAUGGGAGCAAACAGGAUUGAAUACCCUGGUGAUCCCGCCUAAACGUGUCAACUAGCUGUUGCAGGGCCUUCAGGCCUUGGUAGCACAACUAACAUAAUCGAAGUUGACCGCCUGGGAAGUACAGGUCGCAAGAUUAAAACUCAAAGGAAUUGACGGGGACCCGCACAAGCGAUGGAUGAUGUGGAUUAAUUCGAUGCAACGCGAAAAGCCUUACCUACACCUUGACAUGCCGGAGUCCGAAGAGAUUUGAAGUGCUCGCGAGAGAGCUUGGAACACAAGUGCUGCAUAGCUGUCGUCAGCUCGUGUCGUGAGAUGUUGGGUUAAGUCCCGCAACGAGCGCAACCCUUGUCAUUAGUUGCUACGAAGACGCUCUAAUAGAGACUGCGGUGACAAACCGGAGGAAGGUGGGGAUGACGUCAAGUCUCAUGGCCCAUAUGGGUAGGGCUUCACACGUCAUACAAUGGUCGGGACCAUGAAGGGUCGCCAGCCCGCCGAGGGAGCCAAUCCCAGAAACCGAUCGUAGUCCCGGAUCUGAUCUGCAACUCAUUUGCGUGAAGUCGGAAUCGCUAGUAAUCGCGGAUCAGCAUGUCGCGGUGAAUACGUUCCCGGGUCUUGUCACACACCGCCCGUCACACCAUGGGAGUAAGGUUUUACAGAAGUGGAUUAGCCUAACCGUAAGGAGAUUACCACAGUAGGAUUCAUGACUGGGGUGAAGUCGUAACUAGAGUA